UUCAGAGCGUAGGCCUGC
rnacentral:misc_RNA from 1 species